CCACUCACGCCACACGAUAUACGACUUACGUACAAUGUAGUAUAAACACAUCGUGGCAUGGUGGUCCAAGGAUUUACACUGCCCUUUUGAGGAAGAGAAAAACACCAGCAGCGGUGAAUCGGUGACGGCGAGUCCACCGAUACAAUACAGCGACUCCCGUAACCGUAAGCGUCGAGCGGAGGACUGGAAGGAUUCAGCGUCGGCGCUCGGCGGCGAUGGAGAGGUCGUCCACGGUGAUGCAUGCGGUGCGGGGGAGGCGCACCACCACCACUACGGCAGGCACCGCGCGGACCUGGAGGCGUGGAGUGGACCGGGAAACCGCGUGGCUUAGAACCAGCGACCGCUUUGCCUCAGGCGGCAUAGCACUAGCCAAUCGAGCUACGCAUUGUCGUUGCAAAUGUGACAACAGCAGCUCUAUUUAGGCCUUGUUUACUUUCAAAAUAUUUUGCAAAAUGUGAAUAGUAGC
rnacentral:lncRNA from 1 species